UCGCCCUAUUUUGUAUUGCAAUUUGAAUUUGAUGUUGUUUUCGCUCUUCUUCUCCUUUUAUUUUAGUUGCAAACUCUCUUUUGGGAUUUUUAUUUUCCUUCCAGGAUGAAAAUUUGUGCUUUUAUUGAUUUCAAGGAUGAAAUGUGAGCAUACCAAGGCCAACAGUAGCUACAUGGGUAUUUCAUUAUUUAUAAUUAUGACAUUCAUUUCUUUGUUGAUAGUGAAGUUCUUGGGAGUCUUUCUGCUAGUGUAUUAUUACUAAUUUGAUGCACAUAUAUAAUUCAUAAUCCAAUCGGCCUUGGUCUCAGGUUACGAUUUCUUGGCAAAAUCAUGUCUGUAGAGAGAGAGGUAGUAAAGUUGUUGAGCGGACUAAGCAACAAGAUAAUGAAAGAGAGAGGUUAGGAAGGAUGCUGCCUCUAUAAUUCUCAUGCCAUCUUGACUAUGUUUUACUCUGUGCUUUUGGUUUUAUGGAUUUAUGAUUUUUGUCCUUUUUCAUAUUGAUUCUGCCGUUCUUUCUUCAAGUUCUAGCUGAAUUCUUGUAGUCUGCCUGUGUUUGCACACCUCUAAUUUCUGGAAGCCGUUUGGUUUGCUUGAGUGAAUACGUGCGGUGCGGAAGCUAGCAAAUUAUAUUAAUUUGUUUUAAUACUUUCCACUAUGUAGCAAACUAGAACUAGUGCAUUUUGGAUACCAAAAAUAAUGUAGUGAUAGAUAGUGUAUUUCUUUUGUUUUCUUAAAG
rnacentral:lncRNA from 1 species